UUAAAUUGAAGAGUUUGAUCAUGGCUCAGAUUGAACGCUGGCGGCAGGCCUAACACAUGCAAGUCGAACGGUAACAGGAAGCAGCUUGCUGCUUCGCUGACGAGUGGCGGACGGGUGAGUAAUGUCUGGGAAACUGCCUGAUGGAGGGGGAUAACUACUGGAAACGGUAGCUAAUACCGCAUAACGUCGCAAGACCAAAGAGGGGGACCUUCGGGCCUCUUGCCAUCGGAUGUGCCCAGAUGGGAUUAGCUAGUAGGUGGGGUAACGGCUCACCUAGGCGACGAUCCCUAGCUG
rnacentral:rRNA from 1 species